UAUUGGACAAUGGGCGAAAGCCUGAUCCGGCCAUGCCGCGUGAGUGAUGAAGGCCUUAGGGUUGUAAAGCUCUUUUACCCGGGAAGAUAAUGACGGUACCGGGAGAAUAAGCCCCGGCUAACUUCGUGCCAGCAGCCGCGGUAAUACGAAGGGGGCUAGCGUUGUUCGGAUUUACUGGGCGUAAAGCGCACGUAGGCGGAUCUUUAAGUCAGAGGUGAAAUCCCAAGGCUCAACCUUGGAACUGCCUUUGAUACUGGGGAUCUCGAGUCCGGGAGAGGUGAGUGGAACUGCGAGUGUAGAGGUGAAAUUCGUAGAUAUUCGCAAGAACACCAGUGGCGAAGGCGGCUCACUGGCCCGGAACUACGCUGAGUCGAAGC
rnacentral:rRNA from 1 species